UUUCCGUAGGUGAACCUGCGGAAGGAUCAUUACAGAGUUCAUGCCCUUACGGGUAGAUCUCCCACCCUUGAAAUUUAUACCUUUGUUGCUUUGGCGGGCCGCGGCCUCCGCUACCGGCUUCGGUUGGUAUGUGCCCGCCAGAGGACCCAACUCUUGUUUUUAGUGAUGUCUGAGUACUAUAUAAUAGUUAAAACUUUCAACAACGGAUCUCUUGGUUCUG
rnacentral:misc_RNA from 1 species